rnacentral:rRNA from 1 species
GACUACCGGGGUAUCUAAUCCUGUUUGAUCCCCACGCUUUCGUGCAUGAGCGUCAGUUAUAGUUUAGUGAGCUGCCUUCGCAAUUGGUGUUCUGUGUCAUAUCUAAGCAUUUCACCGCUACAUGACACAUUCCGCCCACUUCAAAUAUACUCAAGAAUAACAGUAUCAAUGGCAGUUCUGCAGUUAAGCUGCAGGAUUUCACCACUGACUUAUUAUUCCGCCUGCGCACCCUUUAAACCCAAUAAAUCCGGAUAACGCUUGGAUCCUCCGUAUUACCGCGGCUGCUGGCACGGAGUUAGCCGAUCCUUAUUCUUACGGUACCAUCAGCCCCGAUUCACGAUCGAGGGUUUUUUCCCGUAUAAAAGCAGUUUACAACCCAUAGGGCCGUCAUCCUGCACGCGGCAUGGCUGGUUCAGGCUUGCGCCCAUUGACCAAUAUUCCUUACUGCAGCCCCCCGUAGG